rnacentral:rRNA from 1 species
UACGUAGGGUGCAAGCGUUGUCCGGAAUUAUUGGGCGUAAAGAGCUCGUAGGCGGUCUGUCGCGUCGGCUGUGAAAUCCCGAGGCUCAACCUCGGGUCUGCAGUCGAUACGGGCAAACUGGAGUGUUGCAGGGGAGACUGGAAUUCCUGGUGUAGCGGUGAAAUGCGCAGAUAUCAGGAGGAACACCGGUGGCGAAGGCGGGUCUCUGGGCAACAACAGACGCUGAGGAGCGAAAGCGUGGGGAGCGAACAGG